rnacentral:rRNA from 1 species
AGAGCGAACGCUGGCGGCAUGCUUAACACAUGCAAGUCACACGGGCAGGGGAAACCCUGUCAGUGGCGGACGGGUGAGUAACGCGUAGGUAUCUAUCCUUGGGUGGGGGACAACUGUGGGAAACUACAGCUAAUACCGCAUGAUAACUGAGGUUUAAAGGCGCAAGUCGCCUGGGGAGGAGCCUGCGUACGAUUAGCUAGUUGGUGGGGUAAAGGCCUACCAAGGCUGCGAUCGUUAGCUGGCCUGAGAGGAUGAUCAGCCACAUUGGGACUGAGACACGGCCCAAACUCCUACGGGAGGCAGCAGUGGGGAAUAUUGGACAAUGGGCGAAAGCCUGAUCCAGCAAUGCCGCGUGUGUGAAGAAGGUCUUCGGAUUGUAAAGCACUUUCGGACGGGACGAUGAUGACGGUACCCGUAGAAGAACGCCCGGCUAACUUCGUGCCAGCAGCCGC